rnacentral:rRNA from 1 species
AUUGAACGCUGGCGGCAGGCCUAACACAUGCAAGUCGAACGAGUGGCGGACGGGUGAGUAAUGUCUGGGAAACUGCCAGAUGGAGGGGGAUAACUACUGGAAACGGUAGCUAAUACCGCAUAACAUCAGAUGUGACCAGAUGGGAUUAGCUAGUUGGUGGGGUAACGGCUCACCAAGGCGACGAUCCCUAGCUGGUCUGAGAGGAUGACCAGCCACACAGGAACUGAGACACGGUCCAUACUCAUACGGGAGCCAGCAGUGGGGAAUAUUGCACGAUGGGCGCAAGCCUGAUGCAGCCAUGCCGCGUGUAUGAAGAAGGCCUUCGGGUUUGAAAGAACUUUCAGCGGGGGGGCGUUACCCGCAGAAGAGGCACCGGCUAACUCCGUGCCAGCAGCCGCGGUAAUAC